rnacentral:ncRNA from 2 species
AACAGAAUAGUGAAUUUCACUCAUAUAUCCUUGAUAAUUGGAUCAAGGGUUUCUACGAGGCAACCGUAAAUUGCUUCUCUAUGAGCCAGGGAUGGUUCAUG